rnacentral:tRNA from 1 species
UUAUUAUUAGUGUAUGAUGCACAAAAAAUUUUGAAUUUUUAGGAAAUAGUUUAAUUCUAUUAUUAUAAA